rnacentral:rRNA from 1 species
GUGGCAGCCGCCGCGGUAAUACGGAGGGUGCAAGCGUUAUCCGGAUUCAUUGGGUUUAAAGGGUGCGCAGGCGGAUACUUAAGUCAGUGGUGAAAUCCCGGGGCUCAACCCCGGAACUGCCAUUGAUACUGAAUAUCUGGAAUACGGUUGAAGUGGGCGGAAUGUAGCAUGUAGCGGUGAAAUGCAUAGAGAUGCUACAGAACACCGAUCGCGAAGGCAGCUCACUAAGCCGAUAUUGACGCUCAGGCACGAAAGCGUGGGGAGCGAACAGGAUUAGAUACCCUGGUAGUCCACGCCGUAAACGAUGAUAACUCGUUGUUGGCGACACACAGUCAGCGACUAAGCGAAAGCGAUAAGUUAUCCACCUGGGGAGUACGAUCGCAAGGUUGAAACUUAAAGGAAUUGACGG